rnacentral:rRNA from 1 species
GGAGUUUAUGCUCUGGUAAUUGGAAUGAGAACAAUUAAACCCUUAACGAGUAACCAUCAGAGGGCAAAGUCUGGUGCCAGCAGCGCGGUAAUUCCAGCUCUGAUAGCGUAUAUUAAAGUUGUUGCAGUUAAAAGCUCGUAGUUGGAUUUUAGAGUAUAUUGAUAUGGUCUCUUGUGAUAAACUUGUUGUACUGUAUUAAUUACUCUUUCCUACUGGUUACUCGACUCUGUUCUUUAUUGCAUGGAGUAGUGUCGCAAGGCAUCGCUUAGUAUUUUAUUGCUUUUAGAUGUAGUAAUUGGGUAAAACUGGUUAUGAAACCUAAGGGAUCACAGUAAGGUAUUAAGUGGGGUUCCAGUUCAUUUACUUUGAGUAAAUUAGAGUGUUCAAAGCAGCCUGUAUGGGCAUUGAAUAGAUUAGCAUGGGAUAAUAGAAUAGGAUUCUUAUCUAUUUAUUGGUUUAUAGACUUAGAAUAAUGAU